CAGGACAAAAUCAGAAUGCAGGAAAAAAGAAAAUGUUGGAUAGAAGGUUUGUGAAAAAGCAAUCUUUAAAAAGGAGUUUUAUGUGUGGUCAAGGUGGUUAAGAUAAAAAUUAUUUAAAAUGUUUUAAUAUCAAAAAUAAGCUGGUACAAAAUUAGAAAGUAGUGUUCCCUCUGUAAAAAAGGAUGAAGUUUUCUUACACUUUUGGUCUGCUUUUGAUAAGACUGUAAAAGUUUCUUUACCUUUUAUAUUUAAAUUUCAUAAUGAUCUGUGAUCCUUCAGGCAAGUGCUUUAAAAACUUUUUUUGACAGCGCAUACACCAAAGGAUUUGCUAAACCAAUUAGGCUUACUUGAUAUGCAUAUUACAUGGAAAGCACUGGCAAACAAGUAAUACAAAGUCUUGCUUAUAUUUGUAAGAUGUGGCACAUGUGGAUGAAGUCCAUUUGGUUGCUGCAAAAAUGGUCCCUUAUUGCCAGACUUUUGCCAUCCUAAUGUCCUUGUAACAUGGCAACAAUGUACUCAAAUCUGAGAAAGUAAGAGGGGAUAAGCAAUGGCUGUAAAUUACAGUUGGGGCAAAAGAAACUGAAGACAGCAGCUUGGUUCUUUCUGGCUCCCUGACAAACCCCAUUUCCCAUUUUUUGCACACCUUCACCUACUGUACGUUUAAGAGGACUCAAAUUAUGAAAAGGCAUUGGUGUGAGGCUUGUGUAAAAUUACAAAAACGGUCUACCAAGACCUGACCUGUCUGGUCCAUAAUCAUGGAAAAACUGUUUGUAUUUGGAGGCUUCAGAUCUCCUUCUGGACCCUUUUUAUACCUGCAGGUGGACUUUAUUCAACUCUCACUUCGUAUGGGUUAUCAGUGUUCUUGUUAUUGUAUGUGUGUUUUCCAGAUGUGCUGAAGCCUUUUCCUGCUGUAAGGCACACUGAAAAAGACAAACUGCUAGAAAAUGUGAAAUACUCUCUUGGGGUAUACCUUCCAUGGUCUCUAAUAAUCAAAGCACUACGUAAAUCACACUUCACUGGGCAAAUCAUAUUAGCCUUAAUGAAAACCUCACCAACUUCUUGGAAUUCUAUUAGAAUUGAAUCCAAUUCUAUCGUAAUUCUACACAACGUUCCACUGAGUCUCUGUUGUCUCACACUGGCAUGACCAGCUACAGUAAGUCUCUAAUGUCUUAUGCUCAAGCCUGUCAUCAACAGGUUAGAGAAGCCUUCCUGGAUCCUAAUUCAAAGGAAACCUUCAGUCACAAUCUGUAGCCUGGUGACUGGGUAUUUUAAAAAUAUCACCAGAGGAAGACAACCCUUGAGCCCUACUGGAAGAGACCUUCCUUCCCAAGUGCUCCUGGCACUGUUGCAAAUCUAGAAGAUGCUAACAACCUCAAAAUCAAAUUGACAAGAGAAGUAGCUGACAUCAUAGAAUGCUUCUGCCCAAGAUGACAGAUCAAGACUUCAUACUCUAAGUCAACAUAAAACCUUCUUCCUCUUUUCCUUUCCUUUAUUCUACAUUGGCCUGUAAAGAUAACACCCUCAUCUGUAGCUCCCAGGCCACUGCUAAAGUGGGGUAACCUCUGGAAUUUAAACAACCUUUUAUUUCAGGGUAGGAGAAAAUCUAACAACUGUGCCUCCAACUUUUCACAAGCAAAGUAAGACAUUUCAUUGUUUUAGCUCCCCUAAAUUUAAAUUGUUGAGUUAAAAAGGACCUACACUGGAUGCUUUUGUGAUUUGGGAUUCACUCCUUUUGGCAGAUCCCUGUAUUUCCCUGGUUAGGGAUAAAGGUAAAUGAGACGGCGAUCAAGAACUUCUCCUUAAUUCUUAAAUUAUAAAAUUUGCUGCUAAAGAAAUAGCAGCCCAGCAAAGAUCUUAGAUUCUGCAGCCAAAGUUGUCCUUGAUAAUGGAAUACCUCUUACGUUUUAGUUGAGCAAAGAGGUGUCUAUGCUGUGGGGGCUAUCUGCUAUGCCUAGAGUAAUACUUACGGGGAAGCAGAAACUCAGUUAUAUAAGAUCGAAGAACAGGUUGCUUAGCUUAAAAAGUGAGUCUUUGAGUUAUUUGCUUUUGACUGGUACUAAUGGUCUUCCUCUCCUUUGUAUCCCCACACCCCUACCCCUCUCCUUAGCGUAGGAUGUCACGUACCCUCACAUUGCCUAUCUUCGUGAUUUCAUAUCUGUAGGGACUCCCUGUGUAUAUAUGAAACUAAAUCUGAUUUCCUCCCGUUAAACUGUCUCAUGUCAAUUUGAUUCUUAGUCCAGCUAAAAGAACCUUGAAGGGCAGAGGACAUUCCUUCUUCCAGACAGCUGGCAUAGUUGGUGGGAUAACCUGCUGAUGGCAUUAUCCCUGGGUGCUGCUGCAGCAGAGAGCUCCCCAGGAAAUCUGAAAUGCAGCCCGCAGGAGCAUUCAGAAACCCAACAGAUCUGCAUAGAUUCAGAUAUGAGCAGACAGCUUUAAGGAACUAAGAUGGACUUUAUGGGGCCUAAAAAGCCCCUUUGGAAAUAUCAUCCUGAUUGAUACCUUGCUUACAGAGUACCCAGCAGCUUUACCAGGUGAGUAAAGAAGGUCACUUCCUGGUCAGUGCAGGAACCUUGAGAAGAGAAUUCACCCAAAUAUAUAGGUAUUGCAGGUGAAGUCUGACCACAAGUAUUUGGCUUGGCUUCUGGCCUUGAGAUGCUGUUAAAAGUUCAAUCUGGAAAUCCUGAUGAGUAGUUGCAGCAAAGGAGAUCUUAAAGAGCCUACAGAGUCAACUGCACUUAUGUAAAU